UCCCACCCUUUGUGUACCUACCUCUGUUGCUUUGGCGGGCCGCGGUUCUCCGCGGCCGCCCCCCUCCCCGGGGGGUGGCCAGCGCCCGCCAGAGGACCAUCAAACUCCAGUCAGUAAACGAUGCAGUCUGAAAAACAUUUAAUAAACUAAAACUUUCAACAACGGAUCUCUUGGUUCUGGCAUCGAUGAAGAACGCAGCGAAAUGCGAUAAGUAAUGUGAAUUGCAGAAUUCAGUGAAUCAUCGAAUCUUUGAACGCACAUUGCGCCCUUUGGUAUUCCGAAGGGCAUGCCUGUUCGAGCGUCAUUACAACCCUCAAGCUCUGCUUGGUAUUGGGCACCGUCCUUUGCGGGCGCGCCUCAAAGACCUCGGCGGUGGCGUCUUGCCUCAAGCGUAGUAGAACAUACAUCUCGCUUCGGAGCGCAGGGCGUCGCCCGCCGGACGAACCUUCUGAACUUUUCUCAAGGUUGACCUCGGAUCAGGUAGGGAUACCCGCUGAACUUAAGCAUAUCAAUAGGCGGAG
rnacentral:rRNA from 1 species